UACGUAGGUCCCGAGCGUUGUCCGGAUUUAUUGGGCGUAAAGCGAGCGCAGGUGGUUUAAUAAGUCUGAUGUAAAAGGCAGUGGCUCAACCAUUGUGUGCAUUGGAAACUGUUAGACUUGAGUGCAGUAGAGGAGAGUGGAAUUCCAUGUGUAGCGGUGAAAUGCGUAGAUAUAUGGAGGAACACCAGUAGCGAAGGCGGCCAUCUGGCUGGUAACUGACGCUGAGGUGCGAGAGCGUGGGGAGCAAACAGG
rnacentral:rRNA from 1 species